GUAAAAAGUAGAAUAAUAGAUUUGAAAUAUUUAUUAUAUAGAUUUAAAGAGAUAAUCAUGGAGUAUAAAGAUUAUAAAUAAAGAAUAUUUAUUUAUAAUAACUAUUAAUAGAAUUAGGUUACUAAUAAAUUUCUAAAAUAUGAUUCAUUAAUAAUAUUAAUUUAUUAAUUAAUGUUAGAAUAUAGAUAUUAAUUUUAAAACCUAAAGGUAAACCUUAAAUAAUAUAUAUAUUUAUAUAUAAAUUAUAUAUAUAUUGUUAUGUAAAGAACUAAGUGAACUGAAACAUCUAAUUAACUUAAGGAAUAAAAAUCAACAGAGAUAUUAUGAGUAUUGGUGAGAGAAAAUAAUAAUAGUCAAAAUAAGUAUUAUGUAAAAAUAAUGUAAGAAAAUAGGAUACAAAUUCUAAGACUAAAUACUAUUAAUAAGUGUAAAAAGUACCGUAAGGGAAAGUAUAAAAAUGAUUAUUUUAUAAGCAAUCAUAAAUAUAUAAAUUAUAUUAAUGAUGUACCUUUUGUAUAAUGGGUCAGCAAGUAAUUAAUAUUAGUAAAAUAAAAGUUAUAAAUAAAUAGAAAAAAAUAUAUAUAUAUAAAAAAAUAUAUUAAAAUAUUUAAUUAAUAUUAAUUGACCCGAAAGCAGACGAUCUAACUAUGAUAAGAUGGGUAAACGAUCGAACAGGUUGAUGUUGCAAUAUCAUCUGAUUAAUUGUGGUUAGUAGUGAAAGACAAAUCUGGUUUGCAGAUAGCUGGUUUUCUAUGAAAUAUAUGUAAGUAUAGCCUUUAUAAAUAAUAAUUAUUAUAUAAUAUUAUAAAAUAUUAUAUAAAGAAUGGUACAGCAAUUAAUAUAUAUUGGGGAACUAUUAAAGUUUUAUUAAUAAUAUUAAAUCUCGAAAUAUUUAAUUAUAUAUAAUAAAGAGUCAGAUUAUGUGCGAUAAGGUAAAUAAUCUAAAGGGAAACAGCCCAGAUUAAGAUAUAAAGUUCCUAAAAAAUAAUAAGUGAAAAAAAUAUUAAAAUAUUAUAAUAUAAUCAGUUAAUGGGUUUGACAAUAACCAUUUUUUAAUGAACAUGUAACAAUGCACUGAUUUAUAACUAAAAAUAAUAUUUGAAAUCAAAUAUAUAUAUAUAAAUAUAUAUAUUUGUUAAUAGAUAAUAUACGGAUCUUAAAAUAAAUAAGAAUUAUUUAACUCUUAAUAGAGUAAUAUUAACUAAUUAAAUUAGUUAAUAAAUACUGAAUAUCUAAAUAUUAUUAUUAAUAUAAAAUAAUAAUAAUAAUAUGGUAAUAGAACAUUUAAUGAAAAAAUAUAUUAGUUAUUAAUUAAUAUAUAUAUAAUAAUUAAAUAGAUAAUGCUGACAUGAGUAACGAAAAAAAGGUAUAAACCUUUUCACCUAAAACAUAAGGUUUAACUAUAAAAGUACGGCCCCUAAUUAAAUUAUGAAUAAAAAUAUAUUUAAGAUGGGUUAAUCUAUAUUAAUAAAAAAAUAUCUUAAAAUAUAUAUAAAAAAAAAGAUAAUAUAAUAAUUAAUUAUUCUUUUUAAGAUUAAAUUAAUUUUCUUUAUUAUUUCUUAAUUAUAUAUAAUUAUAUAUAUAUAUAAUAAUUAUUAUUAUUAUUAUUAUAUAUAUAUAAACUAAUAAAGAUCAGGAAAAUAAUUAAUGUAUACCGUAAUGUAGACCGACUCAGGUAUGUAAGUAGAGAAUAUGAAGGUGAAUUAGAUAAUUAAAGGGAAGGAACUCGGCAAAAAUAGCUCAUAAGUUAGUCAAUAAAGAGUAAUAAGAACAAAGUUGUACAACUGUUUACUAAAAACACCGCACUUUGCAGAAACGAUAAGUUUAAGUAUAAGGUGUGAACUCUGCUCCAUGCUUAAUAUAUAAAUUAUAUUAUUUAACGAUAAGAUAAUUAAAUUUAGGUAAAUAGCAGCCUUAUUAUGAGGGUUAUAAUGUAGCGAAAUUCCUUGGCCUAUAAUUGAGGUCCCGCAUGAAUGACGUAAUGAUACAACAACUGUCUCCCCUUUAAGCUAAGUGAAAUUGAAAUCGUAGUGAAGAUGCUAUGUACCUUCAGCAAGACGGAAAGACCCUAUGCAGCUUUACUGUAAUUAGAUAGAUCGGAUUGUUAUUUAUUAUAUUCAGAAUAUUAAGUAAUCCUAUUAAUAAUAAAAAAAUAUUAAUUAGGUAAUCGUUUAGAUAUUAAUGAGAUACUUAUUAUAAUAUAAUAAUAAUUCUAAUCUUAAAUAAAUAAAAAACAAUAAUAAUUAUAAUAAAUUAUUAUUAAUACUUAAUAGAUUAUAAUUCUUAAGUAAUAUAUAUAUAUAUUUUAUUAUAUAUAUAUAAAUAAGAGACAAUCUCUAAUUGGUAGUUUUGAUGGGGCGUCAUUAUCAGCAAAAGUAUCUGAAUAAGUCCAUAAAUAAAUAUAUAAGGUUAUUGAAUAAUAAAUAAUAUAUAUUAUAUAUAUUAAUUAUAAAUUUAAAUAUAUUUUUAUAUAAAUUUUUUUUUAUAUAAUGAAUAUAUUUAAGUAAUAGAUAAAAAUAUGUACAGUAAAAUUGUAAGGAAAACAAUAAUAAUAUUUUAAAAUAUUUAAGAUAUAGUUAGAUUAAUAUAAUGGUAUAACUGUGCGAUAAUUGUAACACAAACAAGUGAAACAAGUACGUAAGUAUGGCAUAAUGAACAAAUAACACUGAUUGUAAAGGUUAUUGAUAACGAAUAAAAGUUACGCUAGGGAUAACAGGGUAAUAUAACGAAAGAGUAGAUAUUGUAAGUUAUGUUUGCCACCUCGAUGUCGACUCAACAUUUCCUCUUGGUUGUAAAAGCUAAGAAGGGUUUGACUGUUCGUCAAUUAAAAUGUUACGUGAGUUGGGUUAAAUACGAUGUGAAUCAGUAUGGUUCCUAUCUGUUGAAGGUAAUAUUAUCAAUUUAAAUCUCAUUAUUAGUACGCAAGGACCAUAAUGAAUCAACCCAUGGUGUAUCUAUUGAUAAUUUUAUAACAUAUAUAUAAUUAAUUUUAAUUAUAUAUAUAUUAUUUAUAUUAGUUUAUAUUUUAAUAAAUUGUCAUAGUAGAUAAGCUAAGUUGAUAAUAAAUAAAUAUUGAAUACAUAUUAAAUAUGAAGUUGUUUUAAUAAGAUAAUUAAUCUGAUAAUUUUAUACUAAAAUUUAAAUAAUUAUUAUAUAUAUAUAUAAUUAAUAUAUUGUAAUAAAUAUAUUAAUACAUUAAAAAGUUAUGCUUUUUUAUAAUAUAUAUAUAUAAAUAAAUUUAUAGGUUUUAUAUAUUUAUAUAUAAU
rnacentral:rRNA from 1 species